rnacentral:snRNA from 1 species
AAAUUUAAACAAUGAAGGUUGUCUUCCAAGGUUGAGGCUCGUCCAUUGGACUUCUGGAAAAUGUGGGUGACUCGAGUGCGUAAUUUUUGCUUAUGGGGGGCUGCGUUCGCGCUAUCCCUUG